rnacentral:rRNA from 1 species
UACGUAGGGUGCGAGCGUUGUCCGGAAUUAUGGGGCGUAAAGGGCUCGUAGGCGGUCUGUCGCGUCGGGAGUGAAAACUCAGGGCUUAACCCUGAGCCUGCUUCCGAUACGGGCAGACUAGAGGUAUGCAGGGGAGAACGGAAUUCCUGGUGUAGCGGUGAAAUGCGCAGAUAUCAGGAGGAACACCCGUGGCGAAGGCGAAUCUCUGGACCGGUUCUGACGCUGAUGAGCGAAAGCUAGGGGAGCAAACAGG